GGGGCGGUAGCUCAGCGGGAGAGCGCCCGGCUGAAGACCGGGAGGUCGGGGGUUCAAAUCCCCCCCGCCCCA
rnacentral:tRNA from 1 species